UCUCAUAAUAACAUCAUUUUUCCUUGUCCAACGUUUGAUCAUUCGUCUUAUUUGAUUUUUUUUUGCGAUUAAUAUUUUUAUUGUUACUAAAUGAUAAAAUUAAAAUAUGAAUAGUACUUUAUACGUGACUAAUUUUUUUAUGUUUUUGUACAAAUUUUUCAAAUAAGAUGAAUGGUCAAACGUUGAACACGGAAAA
rnacentral:pre_miRNA from 1 species